AGUGAACGCUGGCGGUAGGCCUAACACAUGCAAGUCGAACGGCAGCACAGUAAGAGCUUGCUCUUACGGGUGGCGAGUGGCGGACGGGUGAGGAAUACAUCGGAAUCUACUUUUUCGUGGGGGAUAACGUAGGGAAACUUACGCUAAUACCGCAUACGACCUACGGGUGAAAGCAGGGGAUCUUCGGACCUUGCGCGAUUGAAUGAGCCGAUGUCAGAUUAGCUAGUUGGCGGGGUAAAGGCCCACCAAGGCGACGAUCCGUAGCUGGUCUGAGAGGAUGAUCAGCCACACUGGAACUGAGACACGGUCCAGACUCCUACGGGAGGCAGCAGUGGGGAAUAUUGGACAAUGGGCGAAAGCCUGAUCCAGCCAUACCGCGUGGGUGAAGAAGGCCUUCGGGUUGUAAAGCCCUUUUGUUGGGAAAGAAAAGCAGCAGGUUAAUACCCCGCUGUUCUGACGGUACCCAAAGAAUAAGCACCGGCUAACUUCGUG
rnacentral:rRNA from 1 species